GGUUAAGUUAGAAAGGGCGCACGGUGGAUGCCUUGGCACUAGGAGCCGAAGAAGGACGGGACUAACACCGAUAUGCUUUGGGGAGCUGUACGUAAGCGUUGAUCCAGAGAUUUCCGAAUGGGGGAACCCACUAUCUUUAGUCGGAUAGUAUCCUUACGUGAAUACAUAGCGUGAGGAAGGCAGACCCAGGGAACUGAAACAUCUAAGUACCUGGAGGAAGAGAAAGAAAAAUCGAUUUCCUGAGUAGCGGCGAGCGAAACGGAAAGAGCCCAAACCAAGAAGCUUGCUUCUUGGGGUUGUAGGACACUCUAUACGGAGUUACAAAAGAAAGUUAUAAAUGAAGCGGUCUGGAAAGGCCCGCCAAAGACGGUAACAGCCCGGUAGUUGAAAUAGCUUUCCCUCCAGAGUGGAUCCUGAGUACGGCGGAACACGUGAAAUUCCGUCGGAAUCCGGGAGGACCAUCUCCCAAGGCUAAAUACUCCCUAGUGACCGAUAGUGAACCAGUACCGUGAGGGAAAGGUGAAAAGCACCCCGGAAGGGGAGUGAAACAGUUCCUGAAACCGUGUGCCUACAAGUAGUUAGAGCCCGUUAAUGGGUGAUAGCGUGCCUUUUGUAGAAUGAACCGGCGAGUUACGAUUUGUUGCAAGGUUAAGCGGAAAAAGCGGAGCCGUAGCGAAAGCGAGUCUGAAUAGGGCGCAUAAGUAACAGGUCGUAGACCCGAAACCAGGUGAUCUACCCAUGUCCAGGAUGAAGGUAAGGUAAUACUUACUGGAGGUCCGAACCCACGCACGUUGAAAAGUGCGGGGAUGAGGUGUGGGUAGCGGAGAAAUUCCAAUCGAACUUGGAGAUAGCUGGUUCUCUCCGAAAUAGCUUUAGGGCUAGCCUCGAGGUAAAGAGUCAUGGAGGUAGAGCACUGUUUGGACUAGGGGCCCUUCUCGGGUUACCGAAUUCAGAUAAACUCCGAAUGCCAUGUACUUAUACUCGGGAGUCAGACUGCGAGUGAUAAGAUCCGUAGUCGAAAGGGAAACAGCCCAGACCACCAGUUAAGGUCCCCAAAUAUAUGUUAAGUGGAAAAGGAUGUGGGGUUGCUUAGACAACCAGGAUGUUGGCUUAGAAGCAGCCACCAUUGAAAGAGUGCGUAAUAGCUCACUGGUCGAGUGACCCCGCGCCGAAAAUGUACCGGGGCUAAACAUAUUACCGAAACUGUGGAUGAACCUCUUUAGAGGUUCGUGGUAGGAGAGCGUUCUAAGGGCGGUGAAGUCAGACCGGAAGGACUGGUGGAGCGCUUAGAAGUGAGAAUGCCGGUAUGAGUAGCGAAAGAAGGGUGAGAAUCCCUUCCACCGAAUAUCUAAGGUUUCCUGAGGAAGGCUCGUCCGCUCAGGGUUAGUCGGGACCUAAGCCGAGGCCGAUAGGCGUAGGCGAUGGACAACAGGUAGAGAUUCCUGUACCAGUGCUAAUUGUUUAACCGAUGGGGUGACACAGAAGGAUAGGGAAUCGCACGAAUGGAAAUGUGCGUCCAAGCAGUGAGUGUGAGAA
rnacentral:rRNA from 1 species